GCUUAAAUAGCUUAUACACCCAGAGCAUAGCACUGAAGAUGCUAAGGAGGCGACUAACGCCUUUGAGCA
rnacentral:tRNA from 1 species